rnacentral:rRNA from 1 species
AGAGUUUGAUCCUGGCUCAGGAUGAACGCUAGCGACAGGCCUAACACAUGCAAGUCGAGGGGCAGCGGGGAGGUAGCAAUACCUUUGCCGGCGACCGGCGCACGGGUGAGUAACACGUAUGCAAUCCACCUGUAACAGGGGGAUAACCCGGAGAAAUCCGGACUAAUACCCCAUAAUAUGGGCUCUCCGCAUGGAGGGUCCAUUAAAGAGAGCAAUCUUGGUUACAGACGAGCAUGCGCUCCAUUAGCCAGUUGGCGGGGUAACGGCCCACCAAGGCGACGAUGGAUAGGGGUUCUGAGAGGAAGGUCCCCCACAUUGGAACUGAGACACGGUCCAAACUCCUACGGGAGGCAGCAGUGAGGAAUAUUGGUCAAUGGUCGGCAGACUGAACCAGCCAAGUCGCGUGAGGGAAGACGGCCCUACGGGUUGUAAACCUCUUUUGUCGGAGAGUAAAGUGCGCUACGCGUAGCGUAUUGCAAGUAUCCGAAGAAAAAGCAUCGGCUAACUCCGUGCCAGCAGCCGCGGUAAUACGGAGGAUGCGAGCGUUAUCCGGAUUUAUUGGGUUUAAAGGGUGCGUAGGCGGCACGCCAAGUCAGCGGUGAAAUUUCCGGGCUCAACCCGGACUGUGCCGUUGAAACUGGCGAGCUAGAGUGCACAAGAGGCAGGCGGAAUGCGUGGUGUAGCGGUGAAAUGCAUAGAUAUCACGCAGAACCCCGAUUGCGAAGGCAGCCUGCUAGGGUGCGACAGACGCUGAGGCACGAAAGCGUGGGUAUCGAACAGGAUUAGAUACCCUGGUAGUCCACGCAGUAAACGAUGAAUACUAACUGUUUGCGAUACAAUGUAAGCGGUACAGCGAAAGCGUUAAGUAUUCCACCUGGGGAGUACGCCGGCAACGGUGAAACUCAAAGGAAUUGACGGGGGCCCGCACAAGCGGAGGAACAUGUGGUUUAAUUCGAUGAUACGCGAGGAACCUUACCCGGGCUUAAAUUGCAAAUGAAUUAUGGGGAAACCCAUACGCCGCAAGGCAUUUGUGAAGGUGCUGCAUGGUUGUCGUCAGCUCGUGCCGUGAGGUGUCGGCUUAAGUGCCAUAACGAGCGCAACCCUUAUCUUCAGUUACUAACAGGUCAUGCUGAGGACUCUGGAGAGACUGCCGUCGUAAGAUGUGAGGAAGGUGGGGAUGACGUCAAAUCAGCACGGCCCUUACGUCCGGGGCUACACA